AGCUCCAAUAGCGUAUAUUAAAGUUGUUGCAGUUAAAAAGCUCGUAGUUGGAUUUCUGGCGGUGUGACUCCGGCCGGCAUGACGUCGGGUCCAGAGCGCGCCACCAUCCUUCUGUCAACCUUCGCGGGAUUCGCUUCCCGCGAUGUGGGCUCAGAUAUUUUACCUUGAGAAAAUUAGAGUGUUUCAGGCAGGCUUUCGCCGGAAUACAUUAGCAUGGAAUAAUAGAAAAGGACUUCAACCUCUUCUGUUGGUCUGAGGGGCUGUAGUAAUGAUUAAUAGGGAUAGUUGGGGGCAUUAGUACUUGACUGUCAGAGGUGAAAUUCUCCGAUUUGUUAAAGACUAACUUAUGCGAAAGCAUUUGCCAAGGAUGUUUUCA
rnacentral:rRNA from 1 species